rnacentral:rRNA from 1 species
UUAGGAAUCUUCCACAAUGGGAGAAAGCCUGAUGGAGCGACGCCGCGUGAGGGAUGAAGGCCUUAGGGUUGUAAACCUCUAAAAGAGGGACGAUAAUGACGGUACCUCUUGAAUAGCACCGGCUAACUCCGUGCCAGCAGCCGCGGUAAUACGGAGGGUGCAAGCGUUAUCCGGAAUCACUGGGCGUAAAGGGCGCGUAGGCGGUCUGUUAAGUCCGAUGUUAAAUCCCGGGGCUCAACCCCGGAUAAGCGUUGGAUACUGGCAGGCUAGACGGUUGGAGAGGCGAGUGGAAUUACCGGUGUAGCGGUGGAAUGCGUAGAUACUGGUAGGAACACCCAUUGCGAAGGCAGCUCGCUGGACAACACGUGACGCUGAGGCGCGAAAGUGUGGGGAGCAAACC